rnacentral:rRNA from 2 species
AGAGUUUGAUCCUGGCUCAGGAUGAACGCUGGCGGCGUGCCUAAUACAUGCAAGUCGAGCGAACUGAUUAGAAGCUUGCUUCUAUGACGUUAGCGGCGGACGGGUGAGUAACACGUGGGCAACCUGCCUGUAAGACUGGGAUAACUUCGGGAAACCGAAGCUAAUACCGGAUACGAUCUUCUCCUUCAUGGGAGAUGAUUGAAAGAUGGUUUCGGCUAUCACUUACAGAUGGGCCCGCGGUGCAUUAGCUAGUUGGUGAGGUAACGGCUCACCAAGGCAACGAUGCAUAGCCGACCUGAGAGGGUGAUCGGCCACACUGGGACUGAGACACGGCCCAGACUCCUACGGGAGGCAGCAGUAGGGAAUCUUCCGCAAUGGACGAAAGUCUGACGGAGCAACGCCGCGUGAGUGAUGAAGGCUUUCGGGUCGUAAAACUCUGUUGUUAGGGAAGAACAAGUACAAGAGUAACUGCUUGUACCUUGACGGUACCUAACCAGAAAGCCACGGCUAACUACGUGCCAGCAGCCGCGGUAAUACGUAGGUGGCAAGCGUUAUCCGGAAUUAUUGGGCGUAAAGCGCGCGCAGGCGGUUUCUUAAGUCUGAUGUGAAAGC